CUAUCUAGGUGACGCGCAGCAGCCCCCCCAGGCAGCCCAGGCGGCGGCAGCAGCUGCAGCGGCUGCAACGACAGAUUCCGAGCGCUGGGGCGAAGGGAGCAGAGGCUGCCUUCUGCGCGCUCCCGACUCCGCUCACCCCCCUCCCCCCAAGAGGUGGGAGCUGGGAGGCAUCCCCCGCCUCCGCCCCCUCCCCAUCACGCUCAGAAAGAUGAACUGGCAAGAGGUUUCAUGUCAACCUCGGGCUUGUGGAGAAAAAAUGCCAAGCAGAGACCGAGAACUGAUGCAUUCUUAAGCAGGAGAAGUCCAGAGAUCAUCUAAGAAGCUUUACAACCAAAGCUGCAUAGAUUUUACUUUGACAUGUUUGUGACAUUGGAUCGGAUAGAUGAAAUUAAUAGUGAGGAUUAUAGGUGGGUUUGGGGUUCCCAUGUCCUCCUUUUCUACAUUAAAAGAAAGGAAGUUUUUCUCUAGGCAGGCACAUUUCAAAUGUGUUAGUCAUCCUUACAUAUAUCUGUGUUCAGUUCUCAUAAAGAAGUUCUCCAAAAACCUGUCCCCACAAGAGGGAAAAUUUCUGUAGACCUUUUACUCUGAAUUCUCUCAGUAGCAAUGAAACAUUUUCCCAAACAUUUCCUUUUGGAACGGUAUUUUCCUAUGACCUUUGACCCACCCCAAGCAUGGAAAGAGGAAGAGCUCCAAAAGUUCCCCUACCCCAGUUUCAGCUCCUAGGGAUCCUCAUCCUGCAGAAGGGGAUAGACAAGGAGACCCUCUUGGAGAUAGCCUCCUUGGGAUCGCCAGGGUUGGGGAAACAAGGGGGUCUUGUUGGGCAGGGGACAGGAUGUAAGAGGGUCAGUGCUGGCAGUGAGGGAGAUCCAGGCCCUCUGCCCGCUUGCCUCCUUCCUAUACCUUCUUUGUGGGCUUCCUCUGCUCUGGUUUGCAAUAUCCUCCCGGCCGGUUGUAGUUCGCCUGCACAAAGCCGCCUUCAGCCUCAGCCGCUGUCUUUUCUCUCCCUCCACCUCUCUUUCUCCUGGCCUGUUUUCAGGGGAACCUGCAUGGGGUGUUUUCCUUUGGAUCACAAAUUCGCACUGCCACACAAGCCUGCAUACAUACAGGCCAACUGCCAUCCCACCUCUUCGCACUGCUCCAGCUCCCGCAGGCUGGCUCUGCCUCGGCUGGUCCCCCCGAGUGCCGCUCUCCUGGAGUGGCUCACAAAGGCAGCCUCCCGCGGCAUCCAGCCCGUAGGCUAGGCUUCGGUAGCUCCGAUCCUUCCCCAGCCUCCACACCACCACUACCCCACCCCCAGGAAUCGUGGGAGCCAUUCUGCUGUAUAAGAGACCCUUGGUCCUCUGGGCAUGUAGGCCAGUGACCCAGGACUCAGCUAAAGUCUCUUUAAAUGCCUCAGGAGAGUGGGUGAAAGGCGAGCUUGGUUACGAUUAAAAUAAUCGCCUGCAAGUAUCUGCCUCUGCUCAAAACGCCUCUUUCGGGGCUCUUCUAGAAAGAGAAAGAGCGAGGAGGAGACAAAACGCCGCCGAGGCCCCGGAGCCGUUCAUGGCAUCCGCGGCUCAGCCAAGCUGUUGUUUUAAAAGAGCAAUAAAAAUGAAUUAUGACUGAAUGCCUUCUAACUUAAUGCUUUCGGACGGGGAUCCCCGGCAAAUACGUAAGAGGAUUUUUAUUUGUGCAUGUGUUCCUGCAAUUGAUCUCUUUGAUGACAUUCUCAUUCAUAGAAAGCGUUUGAUUUAUGAGCUUAGGACGAAUCGCAUCCAGGAGCGGCGCAGCCCUGGCCGCAGCCCGGACGCCCUGCUCGGCGCUAAGCCUGAGCCUAGGUCCGGAAGCCGGCCACAAACGCCACAGGCCGCCGCCGCCGCCGCCGCUGCUGAUGCUGCUGCUGCUGCUGCUGCUGGGAUUUAGCGGGUGAAGAGGUGACAGAAAGUAGGGAGCAAACCCAUGAGGAAAGAUCGCGAUUUUAUUCUAACUUCCAAGCCUUUGCUGUUAAGAGCAGGGUUCUUAAAUCAACCGGCCCAACACACAUGUUGCUGCGCUUUCUCACGGUCUGUUUUGCCUGAACCUAUCAACAGCUGGGAGAUUAAUCAACCACUCUGAAAAUGUACGGGGGAUUUGUGGGGGAGGGGUUGGAAUGUAGAUGUUUGGAACCAAUGUGUAUAAAUAAAUGAAUUGUUGAUAACUUA